GUGCUUGCUUCAGCAACACAUAUACUAAAAUUGUAACAAUACAGAGAUUAGCAUGGCUCCUGCACAAGAAUGACAUGCAAAUUUGUAAAGCAUUCCAUACUUUA
rnacentral:snRNA from 1 species